AUCCAGCUAACGAGUCCCAAAUAGGACGAAACGUUCGUCCUGGAU
rnacentral:hammerhead_ribozyme from 1 species